GAUGAACGCUGGCGGCGUGCCUAAUACAUGCAAGUCGAGCGAACAGACGAGGAGCUUGCUCCUCUGACGUUAGCGGCGGACGGGUGAGUAACACAUGGAUAACCUACCUAUAAGACUGGGAUAACUUCGGGAAACCGGAGCUAAUACCGGAUAAUAUAUUGAACCGCAUGGUUCAAUAGUGAAAGACGGUUUUGCUGUCACUUAUAGAUGGAUCCGCGCCGCAUUAGCUAGUUGGUAAGGUAACGGCUUACCAAGGCAACGAUGCGUAGCCGACCUGAGAGGGUGAUCGGCCACACUGGAACUGAGACACGGUCCAGACUCCUACGGGAGGCAGCAGUAGGGAAUCUUCCGCAAUGGGCGAAAGCCUGACGGAGCAACGCCGCGUGAGUGAUGAAGGUCUUCGGAUCGUAAAACUCUGUUAUUAGGGAAGAACAAAUGUGUAAGUAACUAUGCACGUCUUGACAGUACCUAAUCAGAAAGCCACGGCUAACUACGUG
rnacentral:rRNA from 1 species